rnacentral:rRNA from 1 species
AGUGAACGCGGGCGGUAGGCCUAACACAUGCAAGUCGAACGGCAGCACAGUAAGAGCUUGCUCUUACGGGUGGCGAGUGGCGGACGGGUGAGGAAUACAUCGGAAUCUACUUUUUCGUGGGGGAUAACGUAGGGAAACUUACGCUAAUACCGCAUACGACCUACGGGUGAAAGCAGGGGGUCUUCGGACCUUGCGCGAUUGAAUGAGCCGAUGUCGGAUUAGCUAGUUGGCGGGGUAAAGGCCCACCAAGGCGACGAUCCGUAGCUGGUCUGAGAGGAUGAUCAGCCACACUGGAACUGAGACACGGUCCAGACUCCUACGGGAGGCAGCAGUGGGGAAUAUUGGACAAUGGGCGCAAGCCUGAUCCAGCCAUACCGCGUGGGUGAAGAAGGCCUUCGGGUUGUAAAGCCCUUUUGUUGGGAAAGAAAAGCAGCAGGUUAAUACCCCGCUGUUCUGACGGUACCCAAAGAAUAAGCACCGGCUAACUUCGUG